UCACCAAAGGCAGUCACAGUCAAGACAGCUCUCCUCCAUCCCUGCCAGGAUGGCAUGCAGGCAGGGCAGCAUCAUUGCUGUCUUUACUCUCAGCACUGCUUAGGGUGUGAUGAGACAGACAGGCAGCCCCUCAGGGAAAAGGAAGUUUCUGUAGCUCCUGCUACUCUGUCAAUUGUACACAAGGACAAAGAAACAGUAUGGCAGCUGACCUAUGCCUCAUCACCUGCACACAGAACCUCAAAGUUGAGCAACAGAUGGCCAGUAGCUCUCAGUCAACAGGAUUCAGAAGCAAGAGAGCAGCCUCACUGUUAAGUAACAGCAGCUGCUUUACGAAGAGACUGUAUUUCAACUUGAGGGGGAAUGACACAUGCCUAGACCACAACUUCAGUUGGCAGAGACACCAUCUCUGUUCCACUGUAACACUUCCCUAAAGUUCCCCCUUCCAGAGGGAAAGAGGAAUUUGAGGAAAUUUUCUUUAUAUCACUGCGCUUCUCUCUUCAUUAUGAAGGUUCAGCACAUCUGGUGAACAAGAAAAGUUUUGUGGGGGCCCAGCCAUUUCCUGCAAGGCUAUGAUGUGUUUUGUCCUGUCACUGCACUGAUCUGCAAGUGACACCGAGUUGAGGUACUCAGACUGCUUUCCUGCCCUGAAUGCUGUAAAUCAGUGCCAAGAAAUAAGGGCGUCAGGAAACUAGUGAACAGGAGAAGUGGCAGCAGUCAUCAGAGCACAUGCAGCCAGGUGAUGGCCAAAGAUAGUAAUAGGGAAAUGAUGGAAAUCUCUGUAAGGGAAUCAAAUCAGAGAAUAUCACCAGUGGAUAGCUCAAUUUUAUAGUUAGAUUAAGAUUGUUCUAACAUAGGCAUGAGUUUGGAUUUCACAGUUAAAGCACAGUUCCGUUUUACACUGAAAACAGGAAUUCAGUUUCUUUGUUGUGUUUGAAAAAUAUGGUCUCCUCCUUAAAUUGGCAGCGCUUAUCCCUCUGGGUAUGAGAUGAAUGUCUGGUAAUUUGUUAGCUUGUGAUUUGCAAUUAAUUAGAAACUGGGUCCUUUAAGAAAUCUGUUCCAGUUGUUGCUUUGCCUGAAACAUCUCAGCAAUGAAAUAACGCAGACCAUUAAAAUGUUCCAUGCAGUCAAAAUACAUUGAAAAUUUGUGCAGACAAUAGCUGAAUAAAUUAGUUUGCAAUUAAAUAUCUUCCUAUCUAAUUGCAAAUAGGGGAUACUGUGACAUCAAGGAAAGCUCAUGCAAUCAUCAGGUUUCUCCUGGAGUGAAUGUACACGUGAUAAUCUCAUUGGCUGUAAGGUUUGCAUUCGUUAAUCCCAUUGACUUGAAGAGGGCUGAACAGAUCGAGAAGACAUUACUCAGCCAGUUCUUUUUAUCAUUUUCUGUUUUGAUCUGACCAGGUGUAUAUUUAAGAGGCAUUGCUGAAGAACCUGAAGCAGCAGAGCUCUUAGCAGUAUUGGAGUGCCGGGGCAGUUUCUCUUCUUUCCCUUUUUCCUUCCUUGUGCCCCCUGCUGCCAAAUACCACCUGCCAUUCCUUCAUCACUGAUGCACUACCCUGAACCAUUGGUUUAAAUUCAGGCCCUAAGAGGCUUAAGAAAUAAAAUUUCCAAGAGCUCCAGAAAAGGUAACUAAGAAUCAGCCUACUGCAGGAGGCUCAAAUCUGCUACACUGGAAUGUAUAGUUCCUUUAGAGAUUUUGUAUGGUCCACAAAUUGAAAAGCAAAGUGGAAAAAAAAAAAUAAAAACCAAAAAAACAAAAAACAGUAGCAGGUUUGAUUCAGGCUUCAACUGUUUGGUACAGAUCUGGUUGUAAAUUGCUGGCACAGAGCUGGAAAAAAAAAAAAAAAAAAAGAGAGAGAGGAGUAAAAAAUUGAAAUAUAUUUAAAAAAAACCAGAGAUUCAAGAGGUGUGUCAGGUGCAACAACAAUAAAAAAAAGCAGCAGUGGGUUAGCCUAGGAGAUCAAAUUCAAUGAGUUCCUUUUCCAAGAGGAGUGCGGCUGGCUGCAGCCUUAGCGGGGGGCAGAGGUGUCUCUGGAAGGACCCUUCAGGGGGUGUUGAUCCUCUGCCCAGUGCCAAGCAAGGGGCAACAAAAUGGGUACCAGAGUCAGGAAAGCUGCAGUUGCAAAGAUCAGGAAGAGCCUUUCACAUCACAGUGGUCUGCAAACCUAAGCACCAAGAUCUUACCUGGGUUCUGGGUGGGAACUGGAAAUAAAAAUCACAAAGAUUCUGAUGAAUCAAAAAUGGCUCGUUUGGGUAGUUUCAUGCCAGCUUUUGAAAAAUCUGUGUGAAAUUUUGAUUUAUAAAUGAAAAUGAAGUUCAGAUGCAAAAGAAUGUUUCUGUUUAGAAAAAAAAAUAAUAAUUGAAAUAUUGUUUAACAUUUAAGCUAUUUUUUUCUUCCAGGAAAAUGUUUUUCUAUGUUUAUCCCAAAUUCAUAAAUAGUUCUUAUUCUUCCUUGUUUGUACAGUGGGAUAAGUUCAUUUGCAAAAAAUAAAAAAAAUAAAAAAAUCUUCCUAAAUCUUAAAAUAACUAACAUCCAAAAAUAUAAGCCCAAACACUGCCCCUCAGAAGUGAACUCAUCCAGGAAUUUAACAAAGAUCUAAUACAAGGCUGACCUGGUGUUAGCCUGGGAAAGUGCCCCUGCGACACAGAGGAUCCCUGCAGAUCCCAUAACUGAGGCACCCAACAGUAAGUCCCAGCCCAAUGAGAAUGGUAGAGCAAUGCAACCUGCAUAGCGUGGGCACCCUGUUAGGACUACCAGCAGGGAAAGGAGGACAGGGACAUAAAACACAAGGAAGAAGCAGUUGCACAACUGUGACAUAGAGAGGAAUACCAGAGCUUCUCCACUGGCCAGCCAAAGCCUGAGGGGGAUACAAGCUCUUUUCUUUGUAUUAUCUGUUGGGAAAACACUGCUGGGCGGAAAGGGUGGGAGGAAGCUCCUGCCCCACAGCGGCAUGGGCUGCUCCAUGACAUGGGGUUAGCAGCAGGGAGGGGACCCCAGGCCCACAAGACCCAGUGGGAUAUGACCCUUCAACACAGUGGGAGGCAUGGAGCUGGGGCAGUGGGCAGAAAAGAGGGGCCUGGGAAAUCCCAAAUGGUGGAGGUGGUCAGUGUGGGCAAGACAGCAGUAAGCAGUUGGUUACAAGGGGUCAUCCACUCUGGGACAUGCCACCACAAGCAUGGUAUCCUGUACUGGGUGCUGGGACACAGGAAAGCAAGGCAUGGGGCUGUUGUUUUCUUCUGUUGCUGGAAAUGUUUAUCCUGGGGACUAAGGCAAAGAGGUUUGUUUUUAAUCUAUGCUUCUUUAAUAAUUCCUCUGAAUUUCCUAUCCAAAAAUAGCAAGAGGUUAUAGAGGAAAAUACAUGACUGCUCCUUCUCCUCUGAGGCCUGGCAGGGAGCAGGCUGGCUCAGCAGGCACCGAGAUGUGUCCUCCCAGGGCUUCCUCCUGCACCUUCUGGAAAGGAGCAUGGCUCCUUCCUCUGGUGGACGCCUCCCUGCCGACCUUCCUGCUCCAGAGGACACGGCAGCCAAGGCAGGUGCUCCACAGGUUGUCCGUCGGGAACACGAAGCUGCAGCUGAGGGCUGGAGGUGUGAUCUGGGCCAGCAGUUCUUGUACACUGCCAGGUUUCAGCAUUCAGACCAAGUGCUUGAGUCACCCCUCAAACCCAGGAGACUUAUAUCUGCUGGAACAACAGCAGCUGGGCCAGGUGAGGAAUCUCAUAAUAGAGUAGGGUGCAGGUUUCCAAAAGACCUAUUUUCCCUUUGAUUUUAUGAGAAAAUGAUGAUUUAUGAAUAUCAACUUGCAGCAAAGCAGUGUUUCUGAUAAUAAAACUUUGAGAGAGUAUGAGGGGCUAUGUCAUUACAGUAAUAGGCCCCAGAUAAGUGCUUCAUCGAGAAGACUAUACAUCAUCACUGCCCACAAUGCGCUGAAAAGAUGAGGCAAGAGGAGAAUGAACGGCAUCUGCUACAAAAAUAAACUACAGCAGAAACCGUGCUCACUGCUUUCAUAUUUCAUACCAUAAAGUCCUGCAUUUUGCAAUUCAGUUAAGCCAAACAUUCAUUUUUCACCUCCUCUCAUCACCCACGAGUGCUGCCAAAACCAAGAGACCCCGGCACAAGCUGGGGAGGCUGCUGGGGCUGGGAGCUGUGCCUGCUGCCUGCAGGGCCAAACAUCCCACUGCCACCCUCAUGAGGAGCAAUUCUUGCCUUGCCUAAAGCCCAGAGGUAGCCAGGGCUAUAGGAAAGGAGGGGACAGACUCUUUAGCAAGGUCUGUUGUGAUAGGACAAGUGGAAGUGGUUUCAA